AACGAACGCUGGCGGCAGGCUUAACACAUGCAAGUCGAACGCAUCGCAAGAUGAGUGGCAGACGGGUGAGUAACGCGUGGGAACAUACCCUUUUCUACGGAAUAGCUCUGGGAAACUGGAAUUAAUCCCGUAUACGCCCUUUACUGGUGGACAGUUUAGGGGAAAGAUUUGUCGGGGUAGGAUUGGCCCGCGUUGGAUUAGCUAGUUGGUGGGGUAACGGCCUACCAAGGCGACGAUCCGUAGCUGGUCUGCGAGGAUGAUCAGCCACAUUGGGACUGAGACACGGCCCAAACUCCUACGGGAGGCAGCAGUGGGGAAUAUUGGACAAUGGGCGCAAGCCUGAUCCAGCCAUGCCGCGUGAGUGAUGAAGGCCUUAGGGUUGUAAAGCUCUUUCACCGAUGAAGAUAAUGACGGUAGUCGGAGAAGAAGCCCCGGCUAACUUCGUGCCAGCCGCCGCCGUAA
rnacentral:rRNA from 1 species